GGGGGAUAUUGCACAAUGGGGGAAACCCUGAUGCAGCGACGCCGCGUGAAGGAUGAAGUAUUUCGGUAUGUAAACUUCUAUCAGCAGGGAAGAAAAUGACGGUACCUGACUAAGAAGCCCCGGCUAACUACGUGCCAGCAGCCGCGGUAAUACGUAGGGGGCAAGCGUUAUCCGGAUUUACUGGGUGUAAAGGGAGCGUAGACGGUUAUGUAAGUCUGAUGUGAAAACCCGGGGCUCAACCCCGGGACUGCAUUGGAAACUAUGUAACUAGAGUGUCGGAGAGGUAAGUGGAAUUCCUAGUGUAGCGGUGAAAUGCGUAGAUAUUAGGAGGAACACCAGUGGCGAAAGCGGCUUUCUGGACGACAACUGACGCUGAGGCGCGAAAGCCAGGGGAGCAAACG
rnacentral:rRNA from 1 species